UGUAGUCUUCAUAUAUGGUGGCAUACAUAUCCAUACACUAGAUUCCAUUACUUAUUUUCCAAAUGGAGAACAGUGUGAAUUUGUUUAUGUCUUUGCGUCACAGGUAUGAUGUCGACUAUGCUGCUCAGCAUCUUUUGCCUUAUGUGUCAUUUUGUGUGGAGCACUUUGGGUUGCACUAUAUGCAUACAAAAAAUGUGUGAGGCCACAGCUACUUUAAAUAUAACGGAUGCUUAUCUCAUCUUGAUAUGCGCAUGCGCACACAGCAAUACCCAUCCCCCACCCUUGACUGACUUUUGAAAUCCAACCCACGGUGACUUCAACCAUCACUUUUCUGUCCUGUCAUGCAUCUGACUGUGUAAGCUGUACAAACUCUGCUGUCAUCAUAUCCAAGGUGGUGAUUUGUGAAGACUGCUGCCCUGAGAACACUGAGUGCAUUCUGCAUGCCAAAUCAAUGUGUGCCACUUCCAUACAGGGAAAAAAGUUUCUACCUGUAGAGUGUAGCCUACUCACUGUUUGUGUGGAAAAACUAAACUUUAAUAAAAGGUUAAACAAA